GUCUUUUUGUUAUAAAUUUAAAGUCAAAUCUGCCCACUGAUUUAUUAUUAAAGGGCUGCAGUAUAUUGACUGUACAAAGGUAGCAUAAUAAUUAGUCUUUUAAUUGAAGACUUGUAUGAAAGAUUUGAUGAGAUAUAGACUGUCUCUUUUUUAUAGUUAGAACUUAAUUUUUUAGUAAAAAAGCUAAAAUUUUUUUAAAAGACGAGAAGACCCUAUAGAGUUUUAUAAUUAAGUUUAAUUAUAUAUUUAUAUUUAAAUUUAAAAUUAAUUAAUUUAAUUAUUUUAUUGGGGUGAUAGAAAAAUUAAAAUAACUUUUUUUAAAUUUAAACAUUAAUUAAUGAUUAUAUGAUCCAUAAUUUAUGAUUAUAAGAAAAAAUUACCUUAGGGAUAACAGCGUAAUUUUUUUUUUUAGUUCUUAUAAGAAAAAAAGUUUGCGACCUCGAUGUUGGAUUAAGAUAAAAUUUAAAUGCAGAAGUUUAAAAUUUUUGAUCUGUUCGAUCAUUAAAAUCUUACA
rnacentral:rRNA from 1 species